AACGAACGCUGGCGGCAGGCCUAACACAUGCAAGUCGAACGAGGACUUCCGGGGUCGCGUCGCGCACGGGUGCGAAACGUGUGGGCAUGUGCUUUUAGUCGCGGUAGAACAGUGAGAAAUGACUUCAAAUAGCGGGAGACCACGUUAAGUCCAAAGAUUCAGCGCCUGAGGAGGAGCCGGCGUAGGAUUAGGUAGUUGGUGUGGUAACGGCCCACCAAGCCGACGAUUCAUAGCUGGUUUGAGAGGAUGAUCAGCCACACUGGGACUGAGACACGGACCAGACUCCUACGGGAGGCAGCAGUGGGGAAUCGUAGACAAGGGGGGAAACCCUGAUCGAGCCAUGCCGCGUGAGCGAUGAAGGCCUUAGGGUUGUAAAGCUCUUUCAGCUGGGAAGAUAAUGACGGUACCAGCAGAAGAAGCCCCGGCUAACUCCGUG
rnacentral:rRNA from 1 species